rnacentral:rRNA from 1 species
GUGGGGAAUCUUGCGCAAUGGGCGAAAGCCUGACGCAGCCAUGCCGCGUGAAUGAUGAAGGUCUUAGGAUUGUAAAAUUCUUUCACCGGGGACGAUAAUGACGGUACCCGGAGAAGAAGCUCCGGCUAACUUCGUGCCAGCAGCCGCGGUAAUACGAAGGGGGCUAGCGUUGCUCGGAAUUACUGGGCGUAAAGUGCGCGUAGGCGGACAGCUUAGUCAGAGGUGAAAGCCCAGGGCUCAACCUUGGAAUUGCCUUUGAUACUGGCUGUCUUGAGUUUUGGAGAGGUGAGUGGAACUCCGAGUGUAGAGGUGAAAUUCGUAGAUAUUCGGAAGAACACCAGUGGCGAAGGCGACUCACUGGCCCAAUACUGACGCUGAGGCGCGAAAGCGUGGGGAGCAAACAGGAAUAGAAACCCCAGUAGCCC